GAUGAACGCUGGCGGCGUGCCUAAUACAUGCAAGUCGAGCGAACGGACGAGAAGCUUGCUCUUCUGAUGUUAGCGGCGGACGGGUGAGUAACACGUGGAUAACCUACCUAUAAGACUGGGAUAACUUCGGGAAACCGGAGCUAAUACCGGAUAAUAUUUUGAACCGCAUGGUUCAAUAGUGAAAGACGGUCUUGCUGUCACUUAUAGAUGGAUCCGCGCUGCAUUAGCUAGUUGGUAAGGUAACGGCUUACCAAGGCAACGAUGCGUAGCCGACCUGAGAGGGUGAUCGGCCACACUGGAACUGAGACACGGUCCAGACUCCUACGGGAGGCAGCAGUAGGGAAUCUUCCGCAAUGGGCGAAAGCCUGACGGAGCAACGCCGCGUGAGUGAUGAAGGUCUUCGGAUCGUAAAACUCUGUUAUUAGGGAAGAACAAAUGUGUAAGUAACUGUGCACGUCUUGACGGUACCUAAUCAGAAAGCCACGGCUAACUACGUG
rnacentral:rRNA from 1 species